rnacentral:lncRNA from 10 species
AGACGAGUGCCCGGUAGAUUAUGUUUGUGCUCGCUGACUUAAUCCAUGACUGAGUACAAACUUCACUUACUUUGAAACCUUCUAGUUUCUCAGCAAAAUGAAAAAGUUACUUUUUCUCCUUGUGUGCUAGGCACAUAAAUUCUAAUAACCUUUAUCUCUGGAAAGACAGAUUUCCAGUAUUGGCCAUUUCAAUUUAUAUUAUUCAUAGAUGUUGGCCCUUAGCAUUCCCACUUACAAUAACCACAAAUCCAGACUCCAUGCCUGCAAACUUAUCUUAUGGCGGAAAAGAUCUUUUUAAGAUAAAGACCAGAUAACCAGACAACCGUAACAAAGCGAAUUCCAAGCUAAGGAAUUGAUGAUUCUGGUUAACUGUGGACAGAGCCCAGCGGGAAGCUGACUUGAGUUCAUGUUCUCCAUAGAUCUGGGGUCAACACGAGAAUCCCUUUCCCAUGAAAUGGUAUAAUAAUUCCCUUUGAAAUGUAUUCUCUUAAAUGCCACUGUGGGGAAAUUUAUUAAAAAUUUAUAGUAUAUAUUAAAUCAAUAAGAUGAAGAUAUUUUUUCUCAUGGCUAUUCUUUAGGUAGACCUCAACGUGACAUUCAAAUCCUGUGCUAGAUGGAUGUGAAUGUAAUGGUUUUGACUCAUCUUUGCUGUUAUUUGCUUACGACAGAGCUGCUUCUAUAAUUAUGACAGGAUUCCCUGCCUUAGGAAAGCUGGAACAUGGAAACACAGAAAAUGAAGGCGGGGAACAUGCCUUCAUUUGGCAUCAGGCUUGGACAGAAGAGAGAGAAUUUCCCAUUUCCUAUUGAAAGAACAUCUGCAUCAACAUUUUCUAAACAACACUGAGCAUUACAUUAAAAUGAUAUCUUCGAUGUAUUGUUUCUACUUGGAGAAAUUACACAGGCUACAAAAGAGUCACUUCUCCGGAUGAAUGACAUAAUAGGGACACAGGCAAUCAUAUCAUUGUGAUGACUUUUAGAAUCUGUAAUUUGCACCCCUCUUGUUGGUGCCCUAAUGAUACUGCCAUGAACUUAUGUAACAGCAUGAAGAAUUCUGGAUGUUAAAAAUUAAGUCUCAUAUUUGUUCUUAUAUCCAAUUUAACCUGAAUUAAAUGUAUGCUUUGGGAGAAAUUGUAGUUGGAGCAGUUUUAGGUUGCUUGGGUGCAUCUGAAAAGUCACGACAUACCAUAGAAAUAAAACAGCUUCAUUUUGUUUAGUAAGCACUUACUAAAUGUCUGCUCAGCAAAGGUAUAAGGCAAUGGAAGUAUGAGAAUGAAUUUGUAAUUACAGUAAAAUGACCAGACAGCCAAUUUCCUCAAAAAUUAAGGAACGGCCGGGGGUGGUGGCUCAUGCCUCUAAUCCUAACACUUAAGAGGCUGAGGCAGGCAGAUCGCUUGAGUCCAGGAGUUCAAGACCAGCCCUAGCAAUAUGUGAAUCCCUGUCUCUACAAAAAAUUAGCUGGACAAGAUGGUGUAUUCCUGCAGUCUCAGCUACUCAGGAGGCUGAGGUAGGAGGGUUUGAGCCCAGGAGACAGAGUUUGCAGUGAGCUGAGAUCACACCACUGCACUCCAGCCUGGGCAACAGAGUGAAACCCUAUCUCAAAAACAGCAAAAAUAAAACAGAAACAGAAAAGAGAAAGAAAGGAGUUUCAUAUAUAACAGUUUGGUGAUAGUGUCUCCAUUUUCAUAACUUUUAUGUGAACUAAUCGUUUUCCCUACAAUUACUCUGUGAAGAAGUUCAUGUACUAUAACUCCCAUUUUAUGAGUGAAGAGACAGAGAUUUAAAUUUCAAGGUGUCCUAUGGUUAAUCACUUUCUUCAGGAUGAAGACCACAGCCACGUAUCCUGUCUUUUUGUUCAGUGCUUUAACUUUAUUCAACGGUAAUAGCUUAUGAAAUGAAAGAGAUGAAAAUAUCUUACCAUUCAUCAAGUGGACGAGGAUGAUGUUUAAGGAAAUGUAAUAGACCAUCACUGAAAUACAAAACUCUUUCUGUCAGUAUCUUUAUUCUCUAAACACUGGCUAAUAUUGCAGAGCCUGGAGGCAAGUUUAUGUCUUUCUUUUAAAGAUGCUUAUCAAAGUAUAAAGCAUUAUUUGAAAUCAAUUGAAAGGAGAUUUUUUUCUGAAGGCAGUGUCUGGCUAGUCUUGAAAAAGAGAAGACAUUUUCUGAGAAUCCCACUGGGAAAGACAGAAUCUUUAUAGAGGCAGAAAAAUAAAGGUCUGUAGACAACCAGAGCUGACAUGAAUGGAACAGUUUAGAAAAGACACACAACAUCCCGACGGGAGGCCGCGUUCCUGGAAAGCUAGACUAUCACACAGCUGGCAGGUGGAAAAUAAACCCUUAGACAUCUCAUGCCUGUAUCAGGGAGUCUGUCAGGGGGGUGGUGCCCUAAGAUGUCGUGGGCACAGGUGCUGUCAAAUAUUUUGAAGUAACCGGGUGUGGUGGCUCACACCUGUAAUCCCAGCACUUUGGGAGGCUGAGGUGGAAGGAUCACUUGAGCCUAGGAGUUUGAGACCAGCCUGGGCAACAUAGUGUGACCUUGUCUCUACAAAAAAAUUUAAAAUUUAGCCAGGCAUCGUGGCAUCCACCCCUAGUCCCAGCCACUUGGGAGGCUGAGGCUGGAGGAUCACUUGAGCCCUGGAGGUUGAGGUUGCAGUGAGCUGUGAUUGCACCACUGAACUCCAGCCAUGGCAACAUAGCAAGACCAUGUCUCAGAAAAACAAAAAAAAAAGAAAAAAAAUAAAAACCAAACAAACAAAAAAGUGAUAUUCCAGGGUUUUCCUAAAGUGCUCCCAAGGUUCCCUGGCUCAGACCAACACCUGUUCAGAAGUCCUCCUGCCCGUCCUGAACUGCUCCAGUAAUCCCUCAUUCAGAGGACGGGAUUACAAGGAUUCUUCUGAGCAGCUGCUGUGCCCCAAGGAUGCUCCCAGGGCUUGUCCUGUACCCUCUGAAUGGCAGUAACAGUGACACUCCAAGACCAAGAGAGAGGCCGCCCUGGUGGGGUUCCGCUUGCUCACUCGCGCGUGGUGCAGUCUGGGGCACAUUAUUUAUUUAAGCCAUGUGAACUCCAGCUGCCAACCUAAAAUGAGGAUGAUGCUACUAUCUACUUCAUGGAUUAUUCUGAGGACAAAAGGAGCUAACCCACGUACAAUGCACGGCUCUCCACCCAGGACUAAGAAAGGUUCACUGCAGUGGCUUCUGUUUUUGAUGCUGUAUCAGUAAGUCAUCAGUUUAAUGAAAUGAGCAACACCUGAUCCCUCUGUCUGAGACACAUGGAUGAGAUUCCUGAGAAGGAAGCUGGGCGGUUGUUUCUUGGUUUGGAGCAGAGGAGGAAGUGUUACAUAUGGUGUUGAGAUGCUGGCACUGGAUCUCACCCUUCCUCUGUAUGACUGUCCUUCAUGUGAUAGGACCACACUUGUCACCGUCCUACCUACAUCCCAGCGCCAGUCUCCACCUCAUCCAGAGGCGGUUAAUAAAUGCUCCCUCAAUGGAUGUCAAACAAGUUUUCAUUAUGUGUAAGAACGAUUUCUAAAACCAGGUCUUAUUGUCCCCUUGACUGUGGUCAAAAAAUGUUUAGAAUUAUAGAUAGAUAGUCACAAAACAUUGAAAUCCCUAUGGUGAAAUUAUCAUCAGCUCUAUUUUAUAUUAGGUUGCCAAUUUCUGCAGACUAGAUUAUUAUCUUGUGUAGGGAAGCCACUGGGUUUAUUCAUCUUUGUUUCAGUAAAUGUGCAUAUCACCCAGUUCUUUUUCAUUUGCCGCCUCAGAAAACAUUCUUGCUAUUGGAUUAAAUUUAAAAAGAUUAAGUAAUAAUUUAAAGAUUACUAAAAAAUAUCAUGAUUUAUAGUCUUUGAAGAAAAUGAAGAAGGUCAAAAGUUUAAGAGACCUCAGUGAAGUUGUACAGAAUUGCAAAACAAUUAGUAUAUUUACUCAACAGUUUUCAGCAAUAUGUACUAAAUUGGUUGAAUUAAUGAUGGCAUUUAAUAUUAAACACAUUUUAACUUUUUUAUUCUAAUUAAUAAAACUUUGAG